rnacentral:misc_RNA from 1 species
GUAGGUGAACCUGCGGAAGGAUCAUUACCGAGAGUGGAGCCUGGCUCCAGGGGGGCCAACCGCCCCCAACUCUUUACCCACUGUAAACGUUCUUUGUUGCUUUGGCGAGUCUUGGGGCACGCCUAAGGCCCUCGCCAGAGACCUUCAAACUUGCUGUAAUUUAGGUGGUCUGAGUGUAAAUAAGAAUUAUUAAAACUUUCAACAACGGAUCUCUUGGCUCUGGCAUCGAUGAAGAACGCAGCAUCUGACU